rnacentral:rRNA from 1 species
AUUGAACGCUGGCGGCAGGCCUAACACAUGCAAGUCGAGCGGUAACACAGGGAGCUUGCUCCCGGGUGACGAGCGGCGGACGGGUGAGUAAUGUCUGGGAAACUGCCUGAUGGAGGGGGAUAACUACUGGAAACGGUAGCUAAUACCGCAUAACGUCGCAAGACCAAAGAGGGGGACCUUCGGGCCUCUUGCCAUCAGAUGUGCCCAGAUGGGAUUAGCUAGUAGGUGGGGUAACGGCUCACCUAGGCGACGAUCCCUAGCUGGUCUGAGAGGAUGACCAGCAACACUGGAACUGGGACACGGUCCAGACUCCUACGGGAGGCAGCAGUGGGGAAUAUUGCACAAUGGGCGCAAGCCUGAUGCAGCCAUGCCGCGUGUAUGAAGAAGGCCUUCGGGUUGUAAAGUACUUUCAGCGGGGAGGAAGGCGAUAAGGUUAAUAACCUUGUCGAUUGACGUUACCCGCAGAAGAAGCACCGGCUAACUCCGUGCCAGCCGCCGCCGUAACAC